UUGCUUUGGCAGCAUAUAUAUUAAAAUUGAACCAAUACAGAAAAGAUUAGCAUUGCCCCUGCGUAAGGAUGACACACAAAUUUGUGAAGUGUUCCAUAUAUAA